rnacentral:misc_RNA from 1 species
UCCGGCUUAUCACCGGCAGUUUCUUUAGAGUGCUCAACUAAAUGGUAGCAACUAAAGACGAGGGUUGCGCUCGUUGCGGGACUUAACCCAACAUCUCACGACACGAGCUGACGACAGCCAUGCAGCACCUGUGCUGGAGCUCCGAAGAGGGGCCAAUGUUUCCAUCAGCUUUCCCCAGCAUGUCAAGCCUAGGUAAGGUUCUGCGCGUUGCGUCGAAUUAAACCACAUGCUCCACCGCUUGUGCGGGCCCCCGUCAAUUCCUUUGAGUUUCAGUCUUGCGACCGUACUCCCCAGGCGGCGAACUUAACGCGUUUGGUGCGGCACCGGCGGUAACCCGCCGACACUUAGUACCCAUCGUUUAGGGCGUGGACUAC